CGCAUCGCUAUUUGGUUUCUGUUUUCACUUACUGAGGUAGAAACAAAAGAAGUAUCAGGCAAUAUCGGUGAUCGUGAUAAAAUAUACAGGACUUUUUAUAUCAAGUCUAAGUAAAUAUGCACUACAUCUGUCACCCUUAAUAUGAAGUUAGUGGGUCGUACCCGGGGCUCCUUAGCCGACGAGUCACGUUGAUCCUUUUGUAGUUCAUAAGCGUGAUGAUUGGGUGUUCACGCGCUUGUGUGACAUGUGCCUCCUUCCAACCUUGUUACGAUUGUGGCACAUUACCCGUCUGACAUGAACUAUGAAGGAUCCUCUUAAUCCUGCGAUGCUUUGGUUGUUGAUAGUGCUUGUCGUCCUGUGUCUAGUACGUAAUUGUGAGGCGUGUUUGACUUCGAAUUCUGCGUUAGCUUUGAUUUUUCUUUUUCUGCAGCUAGGUUUUUAAUGUUGAUUGCCGUGGGCUUUUAAAAAGGAAAAAAGGCGAAAGUCGCUGGUAAGCGAGGAGUUUGAAAAUGGUCUGCGACGACGGGGGUUUCGCUAGAAACGCGGCUGAUCCGGGUGUGGCUCGGGCCCGCCCGCGGGUGUGCACGUGAGGUGUUUCCCCGCGUGUGUUCGGGCGGCUCCCGGGGCGGGGUCGGCACCUCUAAGUGGUAGGGGUGGGGGCAGCGGAAGGAGCCACGGCCCCGUGCGACUUUUUCCUGGCGGGUCUCUUGCUGCGGCUACUCGGACGGUGGAGCUGAGAACCUUAGAUCUUGGGUUCCCCGGGGGCCGGUCACGGUCCCCGGCUUUGCCAGGGCGUUUGCCGGUGACUUCUCAUAACUUUCGUUGUGUGGUAGGUGCCCGGGGAAGCACACCGUAUUUGCGCCAAGACGUGGGCGGGAGCGCCUAGAAACGGGAGGCGGACACCGGAAGGAGUCGGAGAGCAGGCGGCGCCGCUUUUCGUGGAGGAGUGCGCGGCGUGCGACCCCGCACCGAGGCUCAAACGCACCUUGCCCCGCCGGCCGGCCUAGUUUGCGCCCACCGUCCCGCAGAGCUUUGGGAUUUUUCUGGCCCCCGAGCCGCAAGGCGCCUAGAGCAUGACCUGCGGGGUUUUCGGAUCUUGGGGUGGAGAGGCCACGCCCGGAGAGUGCUAAGAGUAGGCUCUGGUCCCCAGGGGGCUGUGAGAGUGAAGGGAGACUUAAGGGCUUUCGUCUCGCCUUGGAGACAGCACCGCUUACAGAUAGCCGAUCUGCGGAUCUUGACUGCGAGUGCUUUCUCGCUCCCAACCCCCCUCGCCCGUUCUGUGACCUUGAUGGAAAGUUCGGCGACCUCUCCGUGCCCUAAUAUUUUUCGAAGGUAAAACGUGGGUAGUAAUAGUCCCUACUUCGUAGAAUUGUUAAAGUUAAAUAUACUUAAACGGCUUAGAGCAAUUUCUGGUCCGUGGUAAAUUUUAUGCAGGUGUUCUUACUGUUAAACCACAGCUCCUGUAUUAACUUACGUUUUUUCUUUUCAGGGGAAUUUUAUGGUUAGGACCCUUCCUUUCUACGUCUUUCCCUUGGUCUUUCUUUCUCUGGCCAAUUGGUGGCACUCAUCAUUUUCUAAGCAGUUUCAAACAUUGAUUAAAAACUCCUCCCAAGGGGAUUCUCCCCUAUCAAGAUCUCCCAGAUAUUGACCCCUAUGGGAGCAAGAUGGCAAUCCACAGUUAGUGUAUCCCUCCUGUGUGGGACACUGUCUUCCGUGUUCCAUGUGCCCUUUGUGCUAAGUGGAUCCAAGAUCUCACUCCCUUAGGAAAGUACUUGUAUUGCAAGCGUUCACCCUCUCUACACUCUGAGUUUCCUGAGGCCAGACACCAUGCCUUGCUCUCCAGUGCCUGGCACAGUUUAGUUAUGCAGUAAAUGUUUGUUGAACCCACAUGUCCAUCCACAGAGGACUGGUUGAAUAAAGCACGGUAUAUCCACACAAUGCAGUUCUGUGCAGCCGUACAAAGGAAUGAAGACCGUCUCUGUGGAGGCCAUGGGACGCUAGGAUAUAUUGUUUACGUGAAAAAAGCAAGGCCGAGGCCAUGUAUAUGUUGCUUCUCUCCUAAGAAAGGUGUGGUGCAUUUGCUCCCAUUUUAAAGCAGCAGCAAUGGCAGACUAAAUUACAAACUAAUAAAAAAGGGUUACAUACAAGAAAAGAACAAGGUGAAAAACAUGGGGGUGGAAGCUAGACUUCGUUUCGUAUACUCUGUCUUAUAGUUUUGACUUGGGCAUCAUGUAAGUACUUUACAUAAUUAGUUUUUAAAAGAAAAUGCAAAGUAUUUCCUAAAAGAAAAAGAAAGUCAUGAAUCAAAGUAUAUUUCAAGUUACUGGCAUAACCGCAUGGAAAAAUAAGAAACUGACUUUAAAACUCAUGAUUUUGACUGUAUAUCCUUAGUGGGACUUAUCCUAAGAACAGAAAGGGGGCUUCCCGGGGGCUUCCCGGGGGCUUCCCUGGUGGCGCAGUGGUUGAGAGUCCGCCUGCCGAUGCAGGGGACACGGGUUCGUGCCCCGGUCUGGGAGGAUCCCACAUGCCGCGGAGCGGCUGGGCCCGUGAGCCGCGUCCGGAGCCUGUGCUCCGCAACGGGAGAGGCCACAACAGUGAGAGGCCCGCGUACCAAAAAAAAAAAAAAAAACAGAAAGGCAUGGCAAAGAAAUCAAACUGCAUUUAGUAAUAGUAACUGUUAGUAAUAAUACCGGUAUUGUUAAUUAGAUGCUGUUGCAUGUAUAUUUUACACAUAUGUGUGUAUAUACAAUAGCAGGUAUCGUAGUGUUGAUAGAAACCAAGGUCUGCAGUGAAAGAUAAAGAGAUAACAGGUAUCAAAUCAAUGAAAUUAGAUGUAAAUUCUAUAAGCAAAAGUUUGAAUUGGCAAUGGUAGUAUGAAUUCAUGAUUAAUUUUUCUCUAUUUACAAAAUACGUAUAUCCUAGCUGUGUCCACUGAAAGGCCAAGAAGCAAUGACAAUCCAAUGCCUAUGAGCAGCCCUAGUGUCCAAAUUCAUAAUCUAAAUGCCACUGCCCACUAAGAAGAACCAGGACUCCUUUAGGAAAUGACUGAUUUUAGAACGGGGGCAAGCAAGGAUGGUGUAAGAUGAGCCUGUGACAUUUUAUUAUGACAGAAAGCAAAGUAGCUAUCAAAUACUCCUGAGGUUAUGUCAAAAGAACCCAAGAGCAAGGUUGAAGGGGCACCCUUUGGCCAAAGAGAAACAGUUUGGGCUUAAAAAAAGAAUAAUGACUAAUGGAUUGAAACAUAAUCUAAUAUAUACAAAUCCAUCAAUUCAUUCAUAGUAAUACUAACAAAGAAAAAAAUCAUCAUUCAUGCUUGGAUCACCUACUCUUUAUUUUGAAAAUUGGUAAAAGGAAAAAAUGAAGCAUUUAUUCUGCUAUAUAUUUCAGGAUAUCCAAAUAGUUUGUAAGGGCAACAAAUGACACAGAACUAGUAGAAUUAGAAAGUUACUGUUCACAGGUCCUAAUGAAGCCCUGGGACUAGGCAACAAACAUUCAUGGCUAUUAGAAUUAUGAAGUGGAACAUUGAUGGGAAUCUUAUAAUAGCUGGAUCAAGCUAACAAAACCUGAACCCACCGAUUUAUCUUAACAUCACUAAAAGUGAGAUAACCCGAUCCCACGUGCCUCUUGAUGCAAUGCAACAGUAUAUACGCACCAUCUACGAAAUACUGUUGCACAAAAAUUGACCCUAAACCUAAUCAAACUUCUAGAUCUAACUACAAAAUGGCAAGAAAUAGGAAGGACACAGAGACAGAUUAAGACACCAAGACGAUACGAUCAGCCAAGCUAAGGAUACAGGAAAUUACACAAAUUACCCAGUUUCUUCAAUAAAUAACUAGCAUGAAAGAAAUGGAGUGGAAGAGAGAAUUGAUAUAGUUUUUAAAGACACCUCAAUCAAAUGCAAUGUUGGAUAUUGUUUUCAAUAAACAUUGUAAAGAUAUAUUUAAGACAACUGGGGAAAUCUGAACAUAGUUCUGUUACAAGGUGUUCAUAUAAUUUGUCAUCUAAACAGGGCAUAUUGAGAGUUAAAGGAGACACUUUUAAUAGUUAUGCUGGUACAAAGAUGUAAAUUGAGUCUGUCCUAGGCAAGCUUGAUUACCGCGGUUUCAGAAAACUUUGUGAAAUUAUUGUUAAUUCGAUAGUGUUAUUAUGUUUAUUUUUUAACAUUAGUUUCAGCUGUACGACGUAAUGAUUCAAUAUAUAUAUAUAGUGAAAUGAUCACCACAAGAAGUCUAGUUAACGUCCAUCACCACACAAUUAAAUUUUUCUUGUAAUAAAAACUUUUAAGAUCUACUCUCUUAGCAACUUUCAAAUAUACAAUGCGGUGUUUAUUAAUUAUAGUCACCAUGCUGUACAUUAUAUCCCCAGUGCAUAUCUAUUUUAUAACUGGAAGUUUGUACCAUUUGACCACCUUCACCCAUUUUGCCUGCAUCCUUUCCCACCUCUGGCAACCACUAAUCUGUCCUCUGUUUCUAUGAACUUGUUAUUUACAAAAAAUGCUUUCAUGUUUUUUUAAAGUUAUUUGUUAGAAAAACAAUUUUCAAACAUUUUAGCCUCAGAACCCCUUAUACGCUUUAGAAAUUAUUGAGUCCUACAAAGAUGACCAGGAUCAAAAACACAGAAAAUAAAUUUUGGUAAGGAUGUUGAGAUAGUGAGACACUCAUGUACUGGUGGUUGAAAUGUAAAAUGGUGCAGCUGCUGUGGAAAACAGUUUGAUGGUUUCUCAAAAAGUUAAAUCUAGAGUAACAUAGAGUUAAUCGUAUGACCCAGCAAUUCUAUUCCUAGGUAUGUAGCCAAGAGAACUAAAAACAUGUAUUCAUACAAAACCUUAGACACUAAUGUGCCUAGCAGCAUUAUUCAUAAUAGCCAAAAGUGAAAACAACCUAAAAGUCCACCAACUGAUGAAUGGAUAAACAAAAUGUGGUGUAUAGGUACAAUGGAAUAUUAUUCAACCAUAAAAAAGAAUGAGGUUUUGAUAUCUGCUGCCGUAUGGGUGAACUUUAAAGGCACUAUGUUAAGUGAAAUAAGCCAGACACAAAAUACUUCAUUUAUAUGAAAUGUCCAGGAUAGACAAAUCAGUGGAGUCGGAAAGGGGCUGAGGAGAGGGAAGAAUUUACAGUGACUAUUAACAGGGAUGGGGCUUCUUUUUCGGGUGAUAAGAGUGAUCAGGAAUUAGCUAGUGGUAAUGGUUGCCCAACUUGUAAAUAUACUAAAGCCUACCGAAUUAUACUGUGAAGUGGUGAAUCCUAUGCUAUGUGAAGAAUUAAAUAUCAGUUUAAAAACUAAUUUAAGGGCUUCCUUGGUGGCGCAGUGGUUGAGAGUCUGCCUGCUGAUGCAGGGGACACGGGUUCGUGCCCCGGUCCGGGAAGAUCCCACAUGCCGCGGAGCGGGCUUGCUGAGCCUGUGCGUCCGGAGCCUGUGCUCUGCAACGGGAGAGGCCACAACGGUGAGAGGCCCGCGUACCGCAAAAAAAAAAAAAAAAAGGAAAAACUAAUUGAAAAAAGUAUUGAGGAUCCCAAAGAGCUUUCUUUACAUUAGAUAAAUAUUUUGAUAGAUGUAUUUUUUCUACAUUAGAAAAUAAAACUGACAAAUUUUUAAUAUAUCCAUUUAAUUAUUUUAAAUAUAGCAAUAAUGAACCCAUUACCUGUUAACUAAAAACUUGUUUUUAUGAAAAGUGAUUAUAUUUUUCAAGACAAAACAAACAUAGAGAAGAGUAGCAUUAUUUUUGUACACAGCAAAUUUUUGUAAACAGAUCGGUAAAAAUUUGCAACUCUCAUACCUAGUUUAAUAGGAGGAAGCUGGAUUCUCAGAUCUGUUGCUGCAUUCAGUCUGUGUUGGAAAACUCCACCAUACAUUCAUGAGAGAAUGAGAAUGAAAAAGACAAACAAUAUAUUAACAUUAUUAUAAAAACAGUUUUGACCUGGCAGACCGCCUGAUAGGGUGUUGAAAACCCUCAGGGUCUCCAGAUCACACUUUGAGAACUGCAACUGAAAAUUUACACAAGUAUUUAACAAUUGAUAUCAUGUGAUAUCUGAGAUUCACUUUAAAAUACUCCAUAAAGAGGGGUGGUGGGAAGGAGUGAUCAAGAGAUGAAUGAAAAAAUCUGGUCAGGGUUUCCCUGGUGGUCCAGUGGUUAGAAUUCCGUGCUUUCAUUGCUGAGGGCCUGGGUUUGAUCCCUGGUUGGGGAACUAAGGUCCCACAAGCUACAAGGCAGAGCCAAAAACAAAAAACAAAAAACCAAAAAAAACCAAAAGGUUAAACACGUGUUGACAGUGUUGAAUGUGGGAGUGGAUCAUGGGUGUUCUUUAUGUUAGUCUCUCUAUCAUAGUGGAAGUCUGAUAUUUUCCAUAAUAAAAGAAUUGUUGUUCUUCCUCUCGUUUUUAAUCAGUGCUGGUUUAACUGAGCAAAAGACCUUAAGGUAGUUGGUAGAAGGGAAAACCAAGUGAGGAUAUGUAUAUCCAUCUGGAUAUAUAAAGAUGCGGCGAGGGGACUUCCCUGGUGGUCCAGUGGUAAAGAUUCUUGAGCUUGCACUGCAGGGGCCGUGGGUUCCAUCCCUGGUUGGGGAACUAAGAUCAUGCCACGCAGCUGGGGGUGGGGGAAAAAUGCAGCGAUGAAUUCGAUGCAGUUCCUGCCUUCAACAGGUUUUCGUCUGCUGGGGGAAGAGAGAUAAUGAAGGCAUCUGAGAAAAAGUGGCACCUGUAAGGAGCACCAGGCAGUCUGCUCAGGGCCUCAAGUCCGUUGCUUCCUCUUCACAGCCACCCUAGGAGGCUGGCAUCAUUAUCUCCAUCCUGCAGAUGAGGAAACUGAAGCUCUGAGAAGUUCAGAAACUUGCCCAAGAUCUCACAGUGGAAAGUGGUAAAGAUGCAAUUAAAGCUGAGUCCGUUGGACUUCCAAGGCUUUUUUUUUUUUUUUGUGGUACGCGGGCCUCUCACUGUUGUGGCCUCUCCCGUUGCGGAGCACAGGCUCCGGACGCGCAGGCUCCGGACGCGCAGGCUCCGGACGCGCAGGCUCAGCGGCCAUGGCUCACAGGCCCAGCCGCUCCGCGGCAUGUGGGAUCCUCCCGGACCGGGGCACGAACCCAUGUCCCCUGCAUCGGCAGGCAGACUCCCAACCACUGCACCACCAGGGAAGCCCUCCAAGGCUUUGCUCUUCCCGGUUCUACCCCUUUUUUGUAGACCCGCCAGGUAUACAGUCCCCAAUGUCACUGCCACUGUGUACCUCGUGAAUGCCCCCCACCAGCAGAGACCCAGGUGGUGACCUGGGGAGCCCACAGUCUUUAGGAAAAGAACUAAUAAUAAUUGUCAACUGUACUGGUCUUUACUCUGCACCUGUCCCUUCAUUCAAUCCACACAACUUAAAUUCAUGGAGUAGGCGUGUUAUCCACAUUUGGCUUCCUCUCCUUGACUCUCCUCCUCCAGCUUUUGGAAACCAAUCUGGCAACAUCUCUUAACAGAAUAAAUGAAUGCAGUGACAACUGUAGUCUUGAGACUCUAUCGGAUACAAAUAACUCUAUAUAAGGAUAUGGGUUCAAGACCACAAGGAUGAACAAUAGGUUCUUUGUGUGACUCUUCAUAGGGCAAAAACCUGAAAACAAAGUGAAGGUUCAUCAAGGACACAUCCCCACUGGGGAAUCAUCCAGCUAUUUACUAAAAGAAUAAAAAGUGGAGCUAAGCCAGAGGACCAGGAGGGGUUUCCACAAGGCGUUGCUCAGUGAUGAGUGUAAGAUGCAAGAGAUGCUAUGAUAUCCCAGUUAUAAGACAAUGCCUUAAAAAGUGAAUGCCAGGACUUCCCUGGAGGUCCAGUGAUUAAGACUCCAUGCUUCCAGGACUUCUCUGGUGGCGCAGUGGUUAAGAAUCUGCCUGCCAAUUCAGGGCGCACGGGUUCAAGCCCUGGUCCGGGAAGAUCCCACAUGCUGCGGAGCAACUAAGCCUUUGUGCCACAACUGCUGAGCCCGCGAGCCACAACUCCUGAAGCCUGUGCGCCUGGAGCCUGUGCUCUGCAACAAGAGAAGCCACCGCAAUGAGAAGCCCGCGCACUGCAACAAAGAGUAGCCCCCACUUGCCACAACUAGAGAAAGUCCGCAUGCAGCAACAAAGACCCAACACAGCCAAAAAUAAAUAAAUCUUUUUAAAAAUUAAAAAAAAAAAAAGACUCUGUGCUUCCACUGCAGGGGGCCCGGGUUCGAUCCCUGGUCAGGGAAUUAAGAUCCUGCAUGCCGUGUGGUGCAACAAAAAAAAAGUGAA